rnacentral:rRNA from 1 species
CAGUCGCCGCGGGAAUACGUAGGGUGCGAGCGUUAAUCGGGAUUACUGGGCGUAAAGCGUGCGCAGGCGGUUGUGUAAGACAGGUGUGAAAUCCCCGGGCUUAACCUGGGAACUGCGCUUGUGACUGCACAGCUAGAGUAUGGCAGAGGGGGGUGGAAUUCCACGUGUAGCAGUGAAAUGCGUAGAGAUGUGGAGGAACACCGAUGGCGAAGGCAGCCCCCUGGGCCAAUACUGACGCUCAUGCACGAAAGCGUGGGGAGCAAACAGGAUUAGAUACCCGAGUAGUCCCUGUCUCUUAUAC